rnacentral:rRNA from 1 species
GAAUUCGCCCUUAGAGUUUGAUCCUGGCUCAGGACGAACGCUGGCGGCGCGCCUAACACAUGCAAGUCGAACGAGCGAGAGAGAGUUUACUUUUUCGAGCGAGUGGCGAACGGGUGAGUAACGCGUGAGGAACCUGCCUCAAAGAGGGGGACAACAGUUGGAAACGACUGCUAAUACCGCAUAAGCCCACGACCCGGCAUCGGGUAGAGGGAAAAGGAGCAAUCCGCUUUGAGAUGGCCUCGCGUCCGAUUAGCUAGUUGGUGAGGUAAUGGCCCACCAAGGCGACGAUCGGUAGCCGGACUGAGAGGUUGUACGGCCACAUUGGGACUGAGACACGGCCCAGACUCCUACGGGAGGCAGCAGUGGGGGAUAUUGCACAAUGGGGGAGACCCUGAUGCAGCGACGCCGCGUGGAGGAAGAAGGUUUUCGGAUUGUAAACUCCUGUCGUUAGGGACGAUAAUGACGGUACCUAACAAGAAAGCACCGGCUAACUACGUGCCAGCAGCCGCGGUAAAACGUAGGGUGCAAGCGUUGUCCGGAAUUACUGGGUGUAAAGGGAGCGCAGGCGGGAAGACAAGUUGGAAGUGAAAACCAUGGGCUCAACCCAUGAAUUGCUUUCAAAACUGUUUUUCUUGAGUAGUGCAGAGGUAGAUGGAAUUCCCGGUGUAGCGGUGGAAUGCGUAGAUAUCGGGAGGAACACCAGUGGCGAAGGCGGUCUACUGGGCACCAACUGACGCUGAGGCUCGAAAGCAUGGGUAGCAAACAGGAUUAGAUACCCUGGUAGUCCACGCAGUAAACGAUGAUCACUAGCUGUUUGCGAUACACUGUAAGCGGCACAGCGAAAGCGUUAAGUGAUCCACCUGGGGAGUACGCCGGCAACGGUGAAACUCAAAGGAAUUGACGGGGGCCCGCACAAGCGGAGGAACAUGUGGUUUAAUUCGAUGAUACGCGAGGAACCUUACCCGGGUUUGAACGCAUUCGGACCGAGGUGGAAACACCUUUUCUAGCAAUAGCCGUUUGCGAGGUGCUGCAUGGUUGUCGUCAGCUCGUGCCGUGAGGUGUCGGCUUAAGUGCCAUAACGAGCGCAACCCUUGCCACUAGUUACUAACAGGUAAAGCUGAGGACUCUGGUGGGACUGCCAGCGUAAGCUGCGAGGAAGGCGGGGAUGACGUCAAAUCAGCACGGCCCUUACAUCCGGGGCGACACACGUGUUACAAUGGCGUAAACAAAGAGAAGCGAAGUCGUGAGGCAGAGCGAAUCUCAAAAAUAACGUCUCAGUUCGGAUUGUAGUCUGCAACUCGACUACAUGAAGCUGGAAUCGCUAGUAAUCGCAGAUCAGAAUGCUGCGGUGAAUACGUUCCCGGGUCUUGUACUCACCGCCCGUCA